rnacentral:rRNA from 1 species
GACAGAGGGGGCAAGCGUUGCUCGGAAUUACUGGGCGUAAAGGGCGCGUAGGCGGGAUGGCAAGUCGGUCGUGAAAUCCCUCGGCUCAACCGAGGAACGUCGAUCGAUACUGCUGUUCUUGAGGAUUGCAGAGGAGACUGGAAUUCCCGGUGUAGCGGUGAAGUGUGUAGAGAUCGGGAGGAACACCGGUGGCGAAGGCGGGUCUCUGGGCAAUUCCUGACGCUGAGGCGCGAAAGCGUGGGGAGCAAACGGG